CAGCAGCAUGGUGACAGUGCCCUCCAGCAGGUGGCUCAGUGAGACCUUCACCUGCAACGUGGCCCACCCGCCCAGCAACACCAAGGUGGACAAGAUCGUGGGCAGAAAAGACCAACCACCUGGACAGGC